rnacentral:lncRNA from 1 species
AAUGGAUUACUCCACUAUAUUUCAUGCAGUUGAGAUAACCUAGAAUUCAUGCAUUCAUAUGGUUUUAGCCGUUCGAUCUUAAUCAGACGGUUGAUAUUUUAAUUUUGUACAACAUUUUCAAGACCAAGUGAACAAGAUAUUGAUAUGCAUGAACAUGAUUGUGUGAUCGAUUGCAUUCAAUUUGAUACCCAUGCUACAUGUGUUGUGAACCUCUCUACAUUUGUGGUUUCAAGUGAAAGAAAAUAUAAUGAUUAGUAUUGGACGACACUAUCUUUAUACAAAGAAUCUUCUCCUGUUCCAAUGCUCUGAUUAUUAUGUACCCUUUUUCUAAUCUUAAUUCCCUCUGUAGCUCUUACCCCCUGCCCAAAAAAUAUAAGUUUAGAAUUAGGUUUACCUAUUCAUUUUCUCUAAACCUCAAAACCACCAUCUUCUAUAAUAUCGAUUCACUUUUAAC